GAUGAACGCUAGCGGCAGGCUUAACACAUGCAAGUCGAGGGGUAGAAGUUGCUUGCAACUUUGAGACCGGCGCACGGGUGCGUAACGCGUAUGCAAUCUACCUUAUACAGAGGGAUAGCCCAGAGAAAUUUGGAUUAAUACCUCAUAGUAUAAUUGAAUGGCAUCAUUUAAUUAUUAAAGUUCCAACGGUAUAAGAUGAGCAUGCGUCCUAUUAGCUAGAUGGUAAGGUAACGGCUUACCAUGGCAACGAUAGGUAGGGGUCCUGAGAGGGGGAUCCCCCACACGGGUACUGAGACACGGACCAGACUCCAACGGGAGGCAGCAGUGAGGAAUAUUGGACAAUGGGCGCAAGCCUGAUCCAGCCAUGCCGCGUGCAGGAAGAAGCAUCUAUGGUGUGUAAACUGCUUUUGUACGGGAAGAAACACCCCUUCGUGAAGGGACUUGACGGUACCGUAAGAAUAAGCACCGGCUAACUACGUGCCAGCAGCCGCCGUAAGAC
rnacentral:rRNA from 1 species